rnacentral:lncRNA from 1 species
UGACUAUGGUAACUUGAGUAACAAUGAGAACCAUGUGCAUCCUCGCUGAACACUGUUCAUGGUCAGAAUCCAUGGCAAGUUUUGUUUGUAGCCUGCAAAGCACCAAGGCGUCUGAGAGGCAGAAAUAUCUAAAGGGAAACAGGAAGGAGGAGGAGGAGAUUUUCUACAAGAAGUUGAUAGAGUCUCAAGAAAAGUUACCUGGUGAAGAAAUAAUCAAGAAGAUUCAUAAUGAGUCAUUCGUGCAACUCUGCACAAGAUUUUUUUUUUUUUUAAUCAUCGUGGAAAGUGUUGGAUGCAUCCUUCAUACAUUGUUUCUGGAUUUUUUGAAACAGAAUGUUCCGAAUGUGUCUGCCUUAAGGAGACUGAGGAUAUUAAUGCCUUAA